rnacentral:tRNA from 1 species
GGUGAGCUGGCCGAGUGGCUGAAGGCGCGCCCCUGCUAAGGGCGUAUACUGUAAUGGUAUCGAGGGUUCGAAUCCCUCGCUCACCG